rnacentral:ncRNA from 1 species
GAGCCGGUUCGAGCCGGUUUGAUCCUGUUCGAUCCGGUUCGAACCGGUUUGAUCCGGUUCGAACCGGUUUGAGCCGGCUGGAUCCGGUUUGAGCCGGUUUGAUCCGGUUCGAACCGGUUUGAGCCGGUUGGAUCCGGUUUGAGCCGGUUCAAU